AACCGAAGAGUUUCACCUACCCCAAACCCCUGUGAACAUACCUAUACGUUGCCUCGGCGGAUCAGCCCGCGCCCCGUAAAACGGGACGGCCCGCCCGAGGACCCUAAACUCUGUUUUUAGUGGAACUUCUGAGUAAAACAAACAAAUAAAUCAAAACUUUCAACAACGGAUCUCUUGGUUCUGGCAUCGAUGAAGAACGCAGCAAAAUGCGAUAAGUAAUGUGAAUUGCAGAAUUCAGUGAAUCAUCGAAUCUUUGAACGCACAUUGCGCCCGCCAGUAUUCUGGCGGGCAUGCCUGUUCGAGCGUCAUUUCAACCCUCAAGCUCAGCUUGGUGUUGGGACUCGCGGUAACCCGCGUUCCCCAAAUCGAUUGGCGGUCACGUCGAGCUUCCAUAGCGUAGUAAUCAUACACCUCGUUACUGGUAAUCGUCGCGGCCACGCCGUAAAACCCCAACUUCUGAAUGUUGACCUCGGAUCAGGUAGGAAUACCCGCUGAACUUAAGCAUAUCAAUAAGCGGAGGAAA
rnacentral:rRNA from 1 species